rnacentral:rRNA from 1 species
GACGAACGCUGGCGGCGUGCUUAACACAUGCAAGUCGAACGGAAAGGCCUGCUUUCCCUUGUGGAUUGCGGGUACUCGAGUGGCGAACGGGUGAGUAACACGUGAGUGAUCUGCCCCCAACUUGGGUAUAAGCCUGGGAAACUGGGUCUAAUUCCCGAUAGGACUGCAGGGUGGUGCCUGUGGUGGAAAACGAUUUUCUAGUGGUUGGGGAUGAGCUCGCGGCCUAUCAGCUUGUUGGUGGGGUAAUGGCCUACCAAGGCGGCGACGGGUAGCCGGCCUGAGAGGGUGGACGGCAACAUUGGGACUGAGAUACGGCCCAGACUCCUACGGGAGGCAGCAGUGGGGAAUAUGGCACAAGGGGCGGAAGCCUGAUGCAGCGACGCCGCGUGGGGGAUGACGGCCUUCGGGUUGUAAACUCCUUUCGACCGCGAGGAAGCCACCUGGUUGGAAGGGUGGUGACGGUAGUGGUAGAAGAAGCACCGGCUAACUACGUG